rnacentral:rRNA from 1 species
UGACGCAGCUAACGCAUUAAGUUCCCCGCCUGGGGAGUACGGCCGCAAGGCUAAAACUCAAAGGAAUUGACGGGGACCCGCACAAGCGGCGGAGCAUGCGGAUUAAUUCGAUGCAACGCGAAGAACCUUACCAAGGCUUGACAUACACCAGAACACCGUAGAAAUACGGGACUCUUUGGACACUGGUGAACAGGUGGUGCAUGGUUGUCGUCAGCUCGUGUCGUGAGAUGUUGGGUUAAGUCCCGCAACGAGCGCAACCCUCGUUCUAUGUUGCCAGCACGUAAUGGUGGGAACUCAUGGGAUACUGCCGGGGUCAACUCGGAGGAAGGUGGGGAUGACGUCAAAUCAUCAUGCCCCUUAUGUCUUGGGCUUCACGCAUGCUACAAUGGCCGGUACAAAGGGCUGCAAUACCGUGAGGUGGAGCGAAUCCCAAAAAGCCGGUCCCAGUUCGGAUUGAGGUCUGCAACUCGACCUCAUGAAGUCGGAGUCGCUAGUAAUCGCAGAUCAGCAACGCUGCGGUGAAUACGUUCCCGGGUCUUGUACACACCGCCCGUCAAGUCAUGAAAGUCGG